ACAAUGCCCUGUGAGGAGCCGGGAGUUGCUCCCACUCACUUGUGACCUGUUGCUGUGUGAGACGCACCUAAUGUCUACACUAGGUUUGGAGGAAAGUGGGAGUGUGGUGAUCCAGGUAGAGUAAAAAAGCCACCA